rnacentral:rRNA from 1 species
CCUACGGGUGGCAGCAGUGGGGAAUAUUGCGCAAUGGGCGAAAGCCUGACGCAGCGACGCCGCGUGAGGGAUGAAGGUCUUCGGAUCGUAAACCUCUAUCAGCAGGGAAGAAAAAAGACGGUACCUGACUAAGAAGCCCCGGCUAACUACGUGCCAGCAGCCGCGGUAAUACGUAGGGGGCAAGCGUUAUCCGGAUUUACUGGGUGUAAAGGGAGCGUAGACGGCAAUACAAGUCGGAAGUGAAAUCCCCGCGCUCAACGUGGGAACUGCCUUUGAAACUGGCAAACUGGAGUGUGUGAGAGGAUAGUGGAAUUCCAGGUGUAGGAGUGAAAUCCGUAGAUAUCUGGAGGAACAUCAGUGGCGAAGGCGACUAUCUGGCACAUAACUGACGCUGAGGAGCGAAAGCGUGGGUAGCAAACAGGAUUAGAUACCCUUGUAGUC